GGGGGCGACUUGGUUUCGACGUGGGUCGCGAAGCAGCACAGGGCAUGCCAAGGUCCAGUCACCUUGUAAAACCGCUGGAAACUAUAAACGCCAACGACGAGCGUUUCGCUCUCGCCGCCUAACACCGGCGAGACGCUGCACUAGCUUGCUGAUGGGUUAGGCCCGGAGGGCGGCGAGGCGCAAGCCAAGCUGCUCAGCGGGUGCAGCGUCAUUUACAUCAGCCCCUCUGUGCGGUCUGGUCGCUUGGCCGCACGGAUCCGUCGAAGCGACUGGCCAAGCGCCAGCCUGCCGGCCGGCGGGCGCGAGGCGAGACCCAAAUGACCAGGCUAAGCAUGUAGUCCUGACUGUGGAGGGCUUGCGGACGCGGGUUCGAUUCCCGCCGCCUCCACCA
rnacentral:tmRNA from 2 species